rnacentral:rRNA from 1 species
ACGCUCGACACCUACGGGAGCAGCAGCGGGGAAUAUUGCACAAUGGGGGAAACCCUGAUGCAGCAACGCCGCGUGAAGGAAGACGGUUUUCGGAUUGUAAACUUCUGUUCUUAGUGAAGAUAGUGACGGUAGCUAAGGAGCAAGCCACGGCUAACUACGUGCCAGCNCGCGGACGUAUNGNGGCGGCGUGACGAGC